AGAGAGAGACAUGCGCGCAUAUCAAUAAGCGGAGGAAAAGAAACUAACAAGGAUUCCCCUAGUAACGGCGAGUGAAGCGGGAAGAGCUCAAAUUUGAAAUCUUAAAGGGUUUCCCUUUACGAAUUGUAGUUUAAAGAAGUGUUUUCUGUUGAGGUUUUGGUAAAAGUUCUUUGGUAUAGGACAUCAUAGAGGGUGAGAAUCCCGUAUUUGACCUUUACUUUCAACUUUGUGAUACACUUUCAAAGAGUCGGAUUGUUUGGGAAUGCAGUCCAAAAUGGGUGGUAAAUUUCAUCUAAAGCUAAAUAUUGGCGAGAGACCGAUAGCGAACAAGUACCGUGAGGGAAAGAUGAAAAGAACUUUGAAAAGAGAGUUAAACAGUACGUGAAAUUGUCAAAAGGGAAGCGUUUGACACCAGUGUUGUUUUUCUGAAAAUCAAUUAAAGAACUGUUUAUGCUAAGUUGUUUAGACUUUAUCAGCUAUCUGUUUAGUUUUGAGCUUUUCUUUAAUGCACUUUUCAGUUAACAAGUCAACAUCAAUUUCUUUUGCUGUAAAAAAGCUUGAGGAAGGUGGCUUGAGAUUCGUCUUAAGUGUUUAUAGCCUCUUGCCUAUGCAGUCGGAGAGAUUGAGGUCUGCAGCGUAGAUCCUUCGGGGCUAAAUGCAUUUGUGCUAAGUUAUAACAUUUUAUAGACAACUUGUUGACUAUGAUUUGUCUUGUAGCUUACUCGCUUAUGUUAUUUUACCUACGCUUAGGAUGUUGACGCAUGAGAUAUACGC
rnacentral:rRNA from 1 species